rnacentral:rRNA from 1 species
CCCUUGUUUUGUUCUCCGCUCGAUUCGAUCGACCUGACUGUACUCCGGCGGCGACCGCAGCAGAAGAAGAAGAUGGUAACGACGGCGGCGACGUUGCCGAGGGAGGAGGAGACGAGGGGGCCGGUGUUGGUCCUCUCGUGACGAGAACAGGUGGAGCGGGGAGUGCGAGCGGCGGCAGCAAGGACGUCACCGGGUCCGGCGGCGGUUGGGGAAGAGGUGCGGGAUGAGGGUCAGGGCCUGCGACGUCGAGCCGGAGCUGUGGUUGCCCUUCUAAGCCUGUACGGGGAGGUGGUUAGGGCCCACGCACACGUGGUUGGGGUGGCAGCCGCGGAGGAGGAGGCAGCGGAGGGGCGAGUAGUAGGGCCUGAGGUGGAGGCGGCUGCGACGGCGAGUCAACAACGCCGUUCGGUAGGAGUUCUGCGUCUUCUUACAGUCGAAGUUGCAACUGGUCGUUUGAGGGGUGCCGGUCAUGUAGGUCCGCCUCCACCUGCCGCCAAAGCCGGCCCUGCACUACCUCAAGGAGCACUUCUUCUUGCGGCCGCACCACCGGAUGGCGACGCACCGGUGAUUCCAGUGGAAGCAGAUGGGGAAGUGGUGGCGGGAGCCGCUGAGCGCCCCGGUCCUCGUCUCCCAGCCGCGACAGCGCGUCCUCGAGCCGACCAUGCGCGGCCUGUAUUCUAGUAGGCAGCUGCUGCAACGAUGUAUUAAUUCGGUACAUUGCGCGGCUGACACUCUACGUAAAGUUCUAGUUUGCCGUACGUACGUACUCUAACCAUAUAGAUACAUCUACCUAGCUAGUACCAGUCAACCAGUGACCCAGUCUAUUAAACAGCAGGUUAUCGGUGGCGCGCUACACAUGAUGAUACCUAAAAAUACGAACCUUUGAACCUCGAGGUUAAAAAGUAAACUGUAUUAUGGCGAGAUAAAAA